GUCGUGAGAUGUUGGGUUAAGUCCCGCAACGAGCGCAACCCUCAUCUUCAGUUGCCAUCGGGUAGGGCCGGGCACUCUGGAGAAACUGCCGGUGACAAGCCGGAGGAAGGCGGGGAUAACGUCAAGUCCUCAUGGCCCUUACGGGCUGGGCUACACACGUGCUACAAUGGCGGUGACAGAGGGCUUUGCGAUGGGGUGACCCGGAGCCAAUCCCGAAAAGCCGUCUCAGUUCGGAUUGCACUCUGCAACUCGAGUGCAUGAAGUCGGAAUCGCUAGUAAUCGCGGAUCAGCACGCCGCGGUGAAUACGUUCCCGGGCCUUGUACACACCGCCCGUCACACCAUGGGAGUUGGUUUUACCCGAAGCCGGUGCGCUAACCCGCAAGGGAGGCAGCCGACCACGGUAAGGUCAGCGACUGGGGUGAAGUCGUAACAAGGUAGCCGUAGGGGAACCUGCGGCUGGAUCACCUCCUUUCUAAGGACGAUCGGGAGCUUCGGGUCUCACGCCCGCUGCUUUCGAUUGUGACCCUACAUCGGGGCGUUCAGAGUUCCAGGCCGCCGCCUGCGCAUCCCUUCCUUUUCAGAGGUCGAAGUCGGAAGUCAGAAGUCAGCAAGAUGAACUGGCUUCUGACUUUCGAUUGCUGGCUUCUGGGCUAGUAGCUCAGUUGGUUAGAGCGCGCGCUUGAUAAGCGUGAGGUCGGAGGUUCAAAUCCUCCCUGGCCCACCAGGCUCAAAACCGGGGCCGUAGCUCAGCUGGGAGAGCACCUGCUUUGCAAGCAGGGGGUCACCGGUUCGAUCCCGGUCGGCUCCACCAGGAGCCGGGAUCAGGCGACAGGGAUCAGGCAUCGGAGCCAUGGUUUUUUGGCUCCGAUACCCGAUCCCUGAAGGCGAAAGCCGGAUGGAUCCGAUGCGAGUGACGGGAACGGGAUUCGGAUCCCGGAAGCCUGUCAGCUGGCGUCCGUUGUUGAACAUUGUGGAUAGGUGAUGAGGCUGGCCGCGGGCGGGUCUUUCCGCGCGGGUCUCGACAGGCAUGCUUGCCUUCGAGCUCCGUCGCGAAUGCCCGACGGCCAGUUUGCGGAAAAUGUGCUGAGUGGCCGAAGCGAUUGCGUCCACGUUCGCGACCAGGCGAUGAGCCUUGUCUCUGUGCGUGGCGCGUUGGCUUUGGAUCAAGCGCUAGUUAAGGGUAUCUGGUGAAUGCCUUGGCACUGAGAGGCGAUGAAGGACGUAGCACGCUGCGAUAAGCCGCGAGGAGGGGCGAGCACCCGUUGAUCCGCGGAUUU
rnacentral:sRNA from 1 species